GACAUGGAUCAGUACGUUGUUUUUCGAAACGGUAAGAAUCUCAGUGAAGAGGACAUGACUGCUGAAAAAAUACGCUGCAUAUUUCAGAAUGACGGACGAAACCGGUGUCAGCUGAAAUUCUGCUGCGGCCGUGGAAUCGUUGAGUGAUGUUCUGUUAUCUCCUGCGGGGGCCAGAGCAGCGAGGCCCGGCUGCACGAGGGCUAAAGGGGGAGGAUCUGCACUCAAUGACUGCAGCAUCACUUGUAGUAAUCAAGCAGCAACCUCCAGGUCUGAGUGAUGACGCCCAUGUGCAGAAAUCUGCAGUUCACCCAAUGGCCACUAGAGGCUCCAAAAGGGAGCAAAUCCCCAUAGACCCCCAUGUUAAAAAGCCCAACUUUACAGCAUCAUUAAACAUGUUUACAGCCUGGUACAAGAAA